rnacentral:rRNA from 1 species
UACGUAGGGGGCAAGCGUUAUCCGGAAUUACUGGGUGUAAAGGGAGCGUAGGCGGCACGUCAAGCCAGAUGUGAAAGCCCGGGGCUUAACCCCGUGGAUUGCAUUUGGAACUGGCGAGCUAGAGUACAGGAGAGGAAAGCGGAAUUCCUAGUGUAGCGGUGAAAUGCGUAGAUAUUAGGAAGAACACCAGUGGCGAAGGCGGCUUUCUGGACUGAAACUGACGCUGAGGCUCGAAAGCGUGGGGAGCAAACAGG